UACGUAGGGGGCUAGCGUUGUCCGGAAUUAUUGGGCGUAAAGAGCUCGUAGGCGGCUUGUCACGUCUGGUGUGAAAGCCCGGGGCUUAACCCCGGGUCUGCAUUCGAUACGGGCUAGCUAGAGUGUGGUAGGGGAGAUCGGAAUUCCUGGUGUAGCGGUGAAAUGCGCAGAUAUCAGGAGGAACACCGGUGGCGAAGGCGGAUCUCUGGGCCAUUACUGACGCUGAGGAGCGAAAGCGUGGGGAGCGAACAGG
rnacentral:rRNA from 1 species